rnacentral:rRNA from 1 species
GGACUACACGGGUAUCUAAUCCUGUUUGCUCCCCACGCUUUCGUGUCUCAGCGUCAGUAUCUGUCCAGUUGGCCGCCUUCGCCACCGGUGUUCCUCUCGAUAUCUACGAAUUUCACCUCUACACCGAGAAUUCCACCAACCUCUCCAGUACUCAAGCCAAGCAGUUUCGAGUGCACUUCCUGGGUUGAGCCCAGGGCUUUCACACCCGACUUAUCUGGCCGCCUACACACGCUUUACGCCCAGUAAUUCCGAACAACGUUUGCACCCUCUGUCUUACCGCGGCUGCUGGCAC